rnacentral:rRNA from 1 species
UACGGGGGGGGCAAGCGUUGUUCGGAAUUACUGGGCGUAAAGGGUUUGUAGGUGGCCCGCUAAGUCACACGUGAAAUCCCUCAGCUUAACUGGGGAACUGCGUGUGAGACUGGCAGGCUCGAGGGCAGGAGAGGAACGCGGAAUUCCAGGUGUAGCGGUGAAAUGCGUAGAUAUCUGGAGGAACACCGGUGGCGAAGGCGGCAUCCUGGACCAACACUGACGCUGAUGAGCGAAAGCCAGGGGAGCAAACGGG